GCGGGGCCGACUUUGGCUUGCCCUGCCUUUCCCUGUCUGAACCUCAGUUUUCUCUUCUGUGAAAUGGGGACUUCCGUGUUCUCUAAACACUUGUCGGAUCCUCUCUAGAGAUGUGUGUGUCCCUGAGGACAGAGGGAUGGAGGAGCUUCAGGGAGGGCACUCGGCGCCCUCGGAGGGACAGACAAAGCAUAUGGAGGGCACACUGACAACCGGAAGUCCCGUCUGGAGCCAGGCUGACAGUGGUCUAUUCAUCCAACAGACAGACACCCGAGACGUGCCAAUUCACAGCUGUUCAGAUUGAGAGGAGCUGUAUUUGAAGAACUAUUCUCAAAGAACCACCCCUGAGAGAAUUCAUCUUCCCCGGACCUGAUUUCAUCAAUGAGAUCCUGGACUUCUAACCGACGAGAAAGAAGGACUCACACUCUGUAUCUCAGACCCUGGGAGAUGUUGGUGAAGGUGUGGGCUGCAGGAAGUGAUAAUCAUGACAAAAAGAGAAGAAGAUUCACUGGAGAGCUGAGCCAUACCAGCUCC